GACGAACCACACAAACGUUAUUCGGAAUUACUGGGCUUAAAGGGUGCGUAGGCUGCGCAGAAAGUUGGGUGUGAAAUGCCUCGGCUCAACCGAGGAACUGCGCCCAAAAACUACUGUGCUUGAGGGAGAUAGAGGUGAGCGGAACUUAGGGUGGAGCGGUGAAAUGCGUUGAUAUCCUAAGGAACACCCGUGGCGAAAGCGGCUCACUGGAUCUCUUCUGACGCUGAGGCACGAAAGCUAGGGUAGCGAACGGG
rnacentral:rRNA from 1 species